AUUGAACGCUGGCGGCAGGCCUAACACAUGCAAGUCGAGCGGAUGAGGGGUGCUUGCACCCCGAUUCAGCGGCGGACGGGUGAGUAAUGCCUAGGAAUCUGCCCGAUAGUGGGGGACAACGUUUCGAAAGGAACGCUAAUACCGCAUACGUCCUACGGGAGAAAGUGGGGGCUCUUCGGACCUCACGCUAUCGGAUGAGCCUAGGUCGGAUUAGCUAGUUGGUGGGGUAAAGGCUCACAAAGGCGACGAUCCGUAACCGGUCUGAGAGGAUGAUCAGUCACACUGGAACUGCGAAACGGUCCAGACUCCUACGGGGGGCAGCAGUUGGGCAUAUUGAACAGUGGGCGAAAGCCUGAUCCAGCCAUGCCGCGUGUGUGCAGAAGGUCUUCGGAUUGUACAGCACUUUAAGUCGGGAGGAAGGGUUGUAGGUUAAUACCUUGCAGCCUUGACGUUACCGACAGAAUAAGCACCGGCUAACUUCGUGCCAGCCGCCGCCGUAA
rnacentral:rRNA from 1 species